GCAAGUCGAACGGCAGCGCGGGGCAACCUGGCGGCGAGUGGCGAACGGGUGAGUAAUAUAUCGGAACGUACCCAAGAGUGGGGGAUAACGUAGCGAAAGUUACGCUAAUACCGCAUACGAUCUAAGGAUGAAAGCAGGGGAUCUUCGGACCUUGUGCUCCUGGAGCGGCCGAUAUCUGAUUAGCUAGUUGGUGAGGUAAAGGCUCACCAAGGCCACGAUCAGUAGCUGGUCUGAGAGGACGACCAGCCACACUGGAACUGAGACACGGUCCAGACUCCUACGGGAGGCAGCAGUGGGGAAUUUUGGACAAUGGGCGAAAGCCUGAUCCAGCAAUGCCGCGUGAGUGAAGAAGGCCUUCGGGUUGUAAAGCUCUUUUGUCAGGGAAGAAACGGUUUGGGCUAAUACCCUGAGCUAAUGACGGUACCUGAAGAAUAAGCACCGGCUAACUACGUGCCAGCAGCCGCGGUAAUACGUAGGGUGCAAGCGUUAAUCGGAAUUACUGGGCGUAAAGCGUGCGCAGGCGGUUUUGUAAGUCUGACGUGAAAUCCCCGGGCUCAACCUGGGAAUUGCGUUGGAGACUGCAAGGCUAGAAUCUGGCAGAGGGGGGUAGAAUUCCACGUGUAGCAGUGAAAUGCGUAGAGAUGUGGAGGAACACCGAUGGCGAAGGCAGCCCCCUGGGUCAAGAUUGACGCUCAUGCACGAAAGCGUGGGGAGCAAACAGGAUUAGAUACCCUGGUAGUCCACGCCCUAAACGAUGUCUACUAGUUGUCGGGUUUUAAUUAACUUGGUAACGCAGCUAACGCGUGAAGUAGACCGCCUGGGGAGUACGGUCGCAAGAUUAAAACUCAAAGGAAUUGACGGGGACCCGCACAAGCGGUGGAUGAUGUGGAUUAAUUCGAUGCAACGCGAAAAACCUUACCUACCCUUGACAUGUACGGAAGGCCGAAGAGAUUUGGCUGUGCUCGAAAGAGAACCGUAACACAG
rnacentral:rRNA from 1 species